rnacentral:rRNA from 1 species
CCUACGGGAGGCAGCAGUGGGGAAUAUUGCGCAAUGGGCGCAAGCCUGAUGCAGCAACGCCGCGUGGAGGACGAAGAUCUUCGGGUCGUAAACUCCUGUCGACCGGGACGAACGUAGUCGGGUCCAAUACACCCGGCUAUCGACUGUACCGGUAAAAGAAGCCCCGGCUAACUACGUGCCAGCAGCCGCGGU